rnacentral:tRNA from 1 species
GCGCCGGUGAUGUAAUGGCGUAGAGCAUUCCCGAUCGGCCAACAGGAGGUGAGGGUUCGAGUCCCGCCUGGCGCU